rnacentral:rRNA from 1 species
GAGCGAUCAAGUGUCAUAAGGGCGUUCGGUGGAUGCCUUGGCGCUGAGAGGCGAUGAAGGACGUGGUACGCUGCGAUAAGUCCCGGGGAGCCGCGAACAGGCUUUGAUCCGGGAAUUUCCGAAUGGGGAAACCCACCCUCGAUCUCUGUUAUUCUGAAGAGAGGCCGGUUGAACGAAGUCUUUGGGGUCACGCCCGGAGGCUUUGCUUUGGCCUGUCUCGGCCUGGCUGGAUUUUGGGCGUAAGCCUGAGGUUUGGGAUAGGCGAUCUUUGGAUUAGCAGAGAUCAUGAGAGGGUAUUUAUUCUCUGAAUCCAUAGGAGAAUAAAAGCGAACCCGGGGAACUGAAACAUCUCAGUACCCGGAGGAAAGGACAUCAACGAGACUCCGUUAGUAGUGGCGAGCGAACGCGGACCAGGCCAAUGCUUUUGCUUUUAUUGACCAGAACCGGUUGGAAAGCCGGGCCGUAGCGGGUGACAGCCCCGUAUGGAUAGGAUGAGAGCGAGAGCUACGAGUAGGGCGGGACACGUGAAAUCCUGUCUGAACACGGGGGGACCACCCUCCAAGCCUAAGUACUCCUCAGCGACCGAUAGCGAACAAGUACCGUGAGGGAAAGGUGAAAAGCACCCCGACGAGGGGAGUGAAACAGUUCCUGAAACCGGACGCCUACAAACAGUCGAAGCCCGAGCUCUUUAGUGAGUUGGGUGACGGCGUACCUUUUGUAUUAUGGGUCAGCGACUUAAAGUAUCGAGCAAGCUUAAGCCGAUAGGCGAAGGCGCAGCGAAAGCGAGUCUGAACAGGGCGUUCAGUUCGAUGCUUUAGACCCGAAACCGAGUGAUCUAGUCAUGAGCAGGUUGAAGGUAGGGUAACACCUACUGGAGGACCGAACCGGUGCCUGUUGAAAAAGGCUCGGAUGACUUGUGAUUAGGGGUGAAAGGCCAACCAAACUCGGAAAUAGCUGGUUCUCCGCGAAAUAUAUUUAGGUAUAGCCUCGAGGCGAGGCUCCAGGGGGUAGAGCACUGGAUGGGCUAGGGGGGCCAAAACCCUACCAAACCUAACCAAACUCCGAAUACCUGGAAGCCAUACUCGGGAGCCACACAGUGGGUGCUAACGUCCAUUGUGGAGAGGGAAACAACCCAGACCAACAGCUAAGGCCCCUAAUUCGUGGCUAAGUGGGAAAGGAUGUGGAAAUCCCAAAACAACCAGGAGGUUGGCUUAGAAGCAGCCAUCCUUUAAAGAAAGCGUAACAG